UAUUGAUUUUGGGUGAUUUGCAGUUUUUAUGACUUUGAAAGAUUUUUGCAAAGUCAAGGUUUGUUUCAGAAGUUUUGGAUUUUAUGAAAUAAAAUAGGGUUUAUGUUUUGGGUGAUUUCGAGAGUUUUGUAGCAGAUCUAUUGGUGAAAUUUUGUGGGUUUAUGGUUAUAGUUGUUUUCAAUAUGUGUUGUGAAUUUGAGCUCGAUCUAACGGUUGAGUUGAAGGAUAUUGAGGUUUAAGUGGAUCAAGGUCUCAGAAAGUAGAAUUUUAGGUCUAGUGAUGGUUUUUAAGAUUUCGUACAAUCUACUAGUUGGAUUGGAGUGAAACUUAUAUGAGAAGAUAUAAGACUUAUUUUUCUAUGUGUAUGAGAAUUUUGAGAUCAAUCGAACGGUGCAAAAGUGAGAUAUUCGCUGUGGAAGAUUGGCAUCAAGAUUGGAGAAGGAGGCCGACCAAUACCUGAGCACAUUUUUGAGGUUUUCGUCAAUUUGGUAACUCCGAUUCUUUUCAAAUUUUUUUGUGCUUGUUUUUAAUUUAUUUUUUAAGAAUUUUACAAGUUUUGAGUUAAGAUCAACGGUUUAUUCAUUAGUUAUUGAGGUUUAAAUCUAUUGUAGGAAUUACUUGGGUUUGGUUUAGGAUUUGGUUAGGGUUUGGUUAGGAUUUGGUUUAGGAUUUGGUUUAGAGUUUGGAUUGGAGUUUGGUUUAGGAUUACGAUUUAGGAUUUAGAUUAGGGUUGGAUUUAGGAUUAGGGUUUGAGUUAGGAUUUAAUUUAGGGUUAGGGUUUAGGGUUUAGGAUUUGUUUUAGGAUUUGGUUAUAAUUUGGUUUAAGAUUUGGUUGGGGUUUGGUUUAAGGUUUGUUUAGGGUUUAAUUUAGGGUUUAGUAUUUUAUUAGGAUUUAAGAUUUAAUUAGUUUUGGCCUAAAAUUUGAAUGAAGUUUAAUAGGAUUUUAACUAGAAUUAAAUUAAGAUUAAAUUGAGAUGUAUUUGAAUGACAUUUGUGUUCUUUCUAAUGUUUCUUUAAAAAUUCCUAUUAUUUGUUUAAAAUUUCUUUGAGGUUUUUUGAAUUUGAUUAAG
rnacentral:lncRNA from 1 species